rnacentral:rRNA from 1 species
GCGCGCAGGCGGCUUCUUAAGUCUGAUGUGAAAGCCCACGGCUCAACCGUGGAGGGUCAUUGGAAACUGGGGAGCUUGAGUGCAGAAGAGGAGAGUGGAAUUCCACGUGUAGCGGUGAAAUGCGUAGAGAUGUGGAGGAACACCAGUGGCGAAAGCGGCUCUCUGGUCUGUAACUGACGCUGAGGCGCGAAAGCGUGGGGAGCAAACAGGAUUAGAUACCCUGGUAGUCCACGCCGUAAACGAUGAGUGCUAGGUGUUAGGGGGGUCCAACCCCUUAGUGCUGAAGUUAACACAUUAAGCACUCCGCCUGGGGAGUACGACCGCAAGGUUGAAACUCAAAGGAAUUGACGGGGGCCCGCACAAGCAGUGGAGCAUGUGGUUUAAUUCGAAGCAACGCGAAGAACCUUACCAGGUCUUGACAUCCUCUGACAACCCUAGAGAUAGGGCGUUCCCCUUCGGGGGACAGAGUGACAGGUGGUGCAUGGUUGUCGUCAGCUCGUGUCGUGAGAUGUUGGGUUAAGUCCCGCAACGAGCGCAACCCUUGAUGUUAGUUGCCAGCAUUGAGUUGGGCACUCUAACGUGACUGCCGGUGACAAACCGGAGGAAGGUGGGGAUGACGU